AUUCACAAUGAAUUUUUAGUUGCGCAGUCUUCUUGCAGUGUUACUGCUUUUUGGUGCAUUCAACAUAGCCGUUCAAAAUUAAGGAACCGUUCUACGUUUUUUGUGACAUUUACAGCAAGAUGAGGGCGGUCCUUGUUUUUCUUUUCAGUCUUCUCGUAUUUGCAGUUAUUACAGAGGCCCUUCCGAAGAAGUAUUUUCAUAGACAUGGCAAGCAUGUCCAUAUUUGGGACCUGGAUGACCCAAUCUCAAGCCGACGUUCAAAGUCCGGUUCGCGGCCGCUCAACGAAAAAUCCGACCAUGUUGUGAAAAAGAUUGGGCAACUCCUGAACAAGCAAAUUAAGCAUGAAGUAAAAGAAGAAAUAUAUGACAAAGUAAAGGAACAAAUCAUCGAGCCUGUUGAUGAAAUUCUAGCUUAAUUGUUUUUUACCGGUAACCAUGAAGU